rnacentral:rRNA from 1 species
UACGUAGGGGGCUAGCGUUGUCCGGAUUUAUUGGGCGUAAAGAGCGUGUAGGCGGCCAGGUAGGUCUGCUGUGAAAACUCGAGGCUCAACCUCGAGACGUCGGCGGAAACCAUCUGGCUAGAGUCCGGAAGAGGAGAGUGGAAUUCCUGGUGUAGCGGUGAAAUGCGCAGAUAUCAGGAAGAACACCCGUGGCGAAGGCGGCUCUCUGGGACGGUACUGACGCUGAGACG